rnacentral:sRNA from 1 species
UUCCAAAUGAGCCACAGCCUGGUAGC